UUCCGGUUGAUCCUGCCGGAAGCCAUUGCUAUCAGGGUUUGACUAAGCCAUGCGAGUCGAGAGGUGUAAGACCUCGGCAUACUGCUCAGUAACACGUGGUUAACCUGCCCUAAGGUGGAGCAUACUCCCGGGAAACUGGGGCUAAUCCUCCAUAGUGGAUGUAUCCUGGAAUGGUAUAUCCUCGAAAGAUCCGUCGCCUUAGGAUGGGACUGCGUCCGAUUAGGUUGUUGGCGGGGUAACGGCCCACCAAGCCAUUGAUCGGUACGGAUUGUGGGAGCAAGAUCCCGGAGAUGGAUUCUGAGACAUGAAUCCAGGCCCUACGGGGCGCAGCAGGCGCGCAAACUUUACAAUGCGAGCAAUCGUGAUAAGGAAACCCUGAGUGCCUGUCGAUGCAGGCUGUUCAUAUAUCUAAAUCAUAUGUGAAGAAAGGGCAGGGCAAGACCGGUGCCAGCCGCCGCGGUAAUACCGGCUGCUCGAGUGAUGGCCACUAUUACUGGGUUUAAGCGUCCGUAGCUUGACUGUUAGGUCUCUUGGGAAAUCUUCGCGCUCAACGUGAAGGCGUCUAAGAGAUACCGGCAGUCUUGGAACUGGGAGAGGUAAACCGUACUUCGGGGGUAGGAGUGAAAUCUUGUAAUCCUCGAGGGACGACCUAUGGCGAAGGCAGUUUACCAGAACAGCUUCGACAGUGAGGGACGAAAGCUGGGGGAGCAAACGGGAUUAGAUACCCC
rnacentral:rRNA from 1 species